GUGUGUGUGUGCGAGUGUAUACCUGUCCUUUUUUCCCCCUAAGGUAAGUCUUUCCGCUCCCGGGAUUGGAAUGACUCCUUACCCUCUCCCUUAAAACCCAUAUCCUUUUGUCUUUCCUUCUCCUUCCCUCUUUCCUGACGAGGCAACCAUUGGUUGCGAAAGCUAGAAUUUUGUGUGUAUGUUUGUGUUUGUUUGUGUGUCUAUCGACCUGCCAGCGCUUUUGUUUGUGGUUGAUGUUACCCAUACUGUGCAGUACCUUUUGGUCUGAUGUCACCAGUAACUGAGUUUAUAAGUGCAUUAGAUUAUGUACUUCACUUGAUCAAGAUCUGGUAGGAGAACGUGAUGUUUAUGCGGAUGACAUUUUUGUAAAUGGACAGAGUUGAGAAGAGCAUUUGAGGUUGUUGAAGUAGAGAUGUGGAACAGGAUAAGCUUCACCACAAUACAAUGGCACAUGGCAGAGACUAUAUUGGCAUGCCUGAUGUUCUGGACGAAUGAAAAGGGAAAGAUUGGGCUGCAGUGUGACCAACAGACAGAAUUUGAUGGAGAUCGGUGACCAGUCCAGCAAUUGCCUAUAUGGGCAUCGAAAGCCACAUAAAAACCACAACUCAAGCAAGCCAGUGAAUAAGAUCAAUGGUCGUUAACCCUCUGUGUACAUUUGAUUUAAGUCAGUCUCUGAAAGUAGUACCCUAAGCUUUAAGUUAGACAAGCACACUACACAAGAGCUUUGUUGAUUAUUACACACAUACCUCAUUCAUAGAUGAAUAACUCAAGUGGAAAAAAAAAAAUUCUUACAUGGACGUCUGAAAGAACAGACACAGUUGACAAUCCACAGCUGUACGAAAUACUUCGAAAUUGAUUUUCCGCCUGUGAAUUCCUUGUUAUCAGCCGUAUUAGGACAGACAAAGGACAACAUACAAGGAUGUCCAUACAAGUAUGUCCAUCCAAGGAUGUAGAUGUGUGACAUAAGGUGGUUUGGGUUGGUCCGAGGAGCAUGUUCGAAGAGCAGAAGUGGUCAAGGUGAUUGUUUGUGAUAAGUACGAAAUCUAGGUUUGAGUCCCAGGCUAGCACAAAUUUUCAUCUGGUACUACUGGGUACUAGAUCUAUACCUAAUACAGCUGAUAUCAAGAAAUGCACUGUCAAUGAAUUAAUUUCAAAGAAAAAACAAUUAUGCGGACAGCAGAACAAGGCUAAGGCCUGAGUUUUUUGGAGGCAAAAUGCUCCUUCUGUGUAUAUAUUAUAAUACUUAUGUAAAACCAAUGUAACUUCUAUAACAACAAUCACUGAUUUACAGACAAUAGUCUCAAACAUGAAUCUAGUGUUUAAACACAGUGUAAUU